GCUGGGGAACCGUGGGCUUUGACAGGGCAGAUGGUGGGGGGAGUGUCUCAAGAGGGAAAUACAGAGAUUAAGAUGCUCCAUCCUUUCUGACUGUAAUCACCGACCACACACGUCCGCUCCGCUUCCUGCUGCUUUCAGUAGAAGGGACAGGCCACAGUGGCGUUUGCAGAGAAAAUGUCUGACGACAGUCGUUCGGUGUGGCACUGUUGGUGGUGAGGCGAGGGAGGAAGUCGAGGAGAAAACUGCACAGGAUCAGCGGAGAUCUUCCCAUAGGCCCACAGUAGGGCUGUUUACCCCCUGAAAGCACGAGAAAGUGGGAGACGGGCCCGGAACCCUGGAGGUUGGUGCGAAGGUGGGCAGCGCCUGGGUAUAACAAGAGAGGGUCUGCCUGCAGGUCUGAAAGGUUUGAGAUCACUGGACACAAAGAAACAAGGAGGAAAUUAUUCCCAAAUGAUAUAGACUGGAAGACCUGUAUUGCUAUGAAUUUCCCUCUGAGCACUGCUUCUGUGGCAUCCCAUAGAUUUUGAGUGGUUGUGUCUUCAUUAUCAUUCGUCUUGAGGUUUUGAUCCCAAGAGCAUUCCCUGAUAAAAGCCCUUCAUGCUGAACACUGUCUCUGAGUCUUCUCUCCAGGAAGCCAACCUACAACAGUUGGUACAAGAAGAGGUUCAGAAAAGCAUAUACAGGGAUGAAAUUUUGGAGAUGGAUAACCUGAUGCUUAGUGGCAGUGAGGACCCCAUCAUUCGUGGUAGGUGGAGUAGAUAGAUACCUGGAACAGGUGGCAGAGAAGUUGUUAGAGCUUUCACUGGUGGUGAACUGGAAUGGUACUGGUGGAAGGGAAUGCAUUUACUGAUGCCAUGAGGUGGAACUUGGAGAAAUAGGUGAGGAAUAUUAAAUAUAAGAAAGGCCAGAAAACUGGGUGGCUGUUUCUCAGCUUGACUGACCUCUAGGAAAAAAUAAUGAAAAGCUGAAUUAAAUUAAUCAGUAAUUUAAGCUAUGUGUGAAAGCCAGGGGGUUUCAUUCACAGCAUAUAAAGAGGCCCUCAUAUUUUCCAGGUGGAGAAAUUGAGGACCAGGUCCAGGACUUACUGAAAUAAGCUUCAAAGAAAGUUAAAAAUCCCAAUCAAGGCAAGUCUGUUCUGCCAAGAUCAGGGCCCUUGUUCCGAAGGAAGUUGACCUUGACACAUGAAAUGGGGACAUCUGGAUUUAUGUCCCUAAAAGUCUUAUCUAUUAAGAGUUCCCUGAGUCCCUUGAGCAUUCAAAAAUGCCCCACUCCUUCCUACUAAGGGUUAGUGCCUCACCUCACUUGGACACACAGAGCUCUUUCCCCUAAGAGAUAACAUGUUUCUUGAUCAAUCUGUCCCCACCUACCAUCCUAGCCACUGGGACCAUAUCUAUGAUUAAGCCACAGCAUAACUUCAUUGGCAUUGUGCUGAACCUAAUAAGAAAGGAAAAGGAAUACCCCAAGAAUGAGCUGCAGGGCCUUUCCAGCAUGUUCUAACAGGUGCUGAGGGGGUAAGCAUGGGACGGAAUUCUGAGUGCCUUCCUCAGGGGCACUAGAAUAUGACACUGAAUAAGGGAGAAUUAAUUGAUUUGAGAGUCUUCUCCCAAGAUACAGGAUUUAACACCCUGGAAAAGACCCCAGGAGAUCAUGUGAACUCACUACUAGAAUGGCUCCUCAAAGAAUGGAAAAAAAGACAAUGGCCCACAUUAAGUGAGGUAUGUGCACCAGAGUUGCCACAGCAGAUGGUGGGAGAAGGGAUUAAAAGCUCAGGAAAGUGGGAAUGAUAGAAUAACUAUAUUAUAAGGCCAGAAAACCUUCCAGAGGACUAUGUUCUUCAGGAGGACCUAAAGGGCACUCCAUUUGUUAAAGCUAUAAGAAUGCACUGGUUAAAGGAGGUACUAGCAUCACUAAUAAAUUCAGUGGUAGCCUGCCUCUGCAGACCAGUGCUCAGAGUAGAAGGGAACAUUACAGGACAAGGAUUGCUGACAGAAAUGAUCAUGCCACUGAAGUAAUAGAGUCAGUAUAACUGUAUUCAACUGUCAGAAGUCAGGUGAAUGCAAAUAUCAUAAUGCACCACACGGUAAGAGUAAUAUACAGGGAGAUCUGAUCUGCAGAGAGCUUUGGAGAGAGUUAGAACACAGUGCUCCUGGUGGAUAGAUGGUUAAGAGGUAAUAGAAUUGGGUGGUCAAUAUAACACUUGGCCCCAGGGAAAACAGGCAUCUGACAAUUCAUAUGAUAAUAAAUAAAAAAUCGGAGCUGCCCAGGAGUCUGAGGGAAGAUGCCUCAAUAAAAAGUCACACUCUCUUGCUCAGCUCUGGCCUUAAGUCAGUUUUUGAGGCAAGGCACACUAUUUGAAGUAGUGGGGCACCCGGGAAGCAGGACCUUACAAUAUGUGCAUAGUAACAAUUCCUCCAGUCCUUCCAUUUACUAAGGUAACUGUGUACUGGGGAGAGGGGAAUACCCAAACAUUUUGAGGAUUGAUGGACCCUGGUUGUGAGUUGAUAUUGAUACUCAGAGAUUUAAAUUGUAUUCAUCCCUGCCUUGUUAGAAUAGGAGCAGAUGGGAGCUUGGAAUUAAAUGGGCUCCUAGUCUAUGUUGGCUUUACACUGGGUAGACUCCACUGGGUCCAUAGAUCCAUCCAAUGGUUAUUUUCAUGGUUUCUGAAUGUAUAAUUGGAAUAGACAUAAUGAUAGUUGGUACAAGUCUCAUAUUGGUUCCUUGGCAUAUGAAGUCAGAGCUAUUUUAGAUGAGGUCAAGUGGAAAAGUUAUAAUUGUCUUCCCCUUCCUUAGCAAAGAAAGUAAAUGAAAACAUAUAGAUAGCAUCUGGAGAGGAUGGUAGAAGUUAGUGCCACAUUUAAAGACCUAAAGAAUUCUGUGAUGUCAGGAGUUCCCAUUGUGGCUCAGCAGGAACUAAUAUCCAUAAGGAUGCGGGUUUGAUCCCUGGCCUCGCUCAGUGCGUUAAGGCUCUAGUGUUGCUGUGAGCUGUGAUGUAGUUCGCAGACAUGGCUUGGAUCCUGCGUCGUUGUGGUUGUGGCUGUGGCGGGCGGCUGUGGCUCCAAUUUGACCCUUAGCUUGGAAACUUCCAUAUGCCACACCUGCGGCCCUAAAAAGCAAAAAAAAAAAAAAA
rnacentral:lncRNA from 1 species